rnacentral:rRNA from 1 species
CCAUCGCUCAACGGACAAAAGCUACCCCGGGGAUAACAGGCUCAUCUCCCCCAAGAGUCCACAUCGACGGGGAGGUUUGGCACCUCGAUGUCGGCUCAUCGCAUCCUGAGGCUGUAGUCGGUCCCAAGGGUUGGGCUGUUCGCCCAUUAAAGCGGUACGCGAGCUGGGUUCAGAACGUCGUGAGACAGUUCGGUCCCUAUCCGUCGUKGGCGCAGGAAAUUUGAGAGGAUCUGUCCUUAGUACGAGAGGACCGGGAUGGACAUACCUCUGGUGUACCAGUUGUUCUGCCAAGAGCACCGCUGGGUAGCUACGUAUGGAUUAGAUAAUCGCUGAAAGCAUCUAAGUGAGAAACUAACCUCGAGAUGAGAUUUCCCAUUCGUCAGAAGUAAGACCCCUGAGAGACGAUCAGGUAGAUAGGCUAGAAGUGGAAGUGUAGUGAUGCAUGGAGCGGACUAGUACUAAUAGGUCGAGGACUUAACCAAG